ACAGCUACUUGACAGGAGAGACACCAUGAUCAUGAAGAUAGUGCCCAUCAGCAAGGCUCAUCAUUGUAGAAAGUAUGCCCUGCUUCAUGAUUCCCCCAAAUGUGGAAAGUAUGGCUGUAUGUGUGUGGUAGUAAGGGCCUGUGUUCUCACUUUCCUCUG
ensembl:snRNA U1 U1 spliceosomal RNA